AAUAAAAACAAAAUUAGAAACAAACGCAUGCACCCCCCUCUCCUCUUCUCUCUCUCUCUCCUCUGCUUUCUUCUUUAGCUUCUUAGGGUUUUUGAUCUCUCGCUUUAGGUUUCCGUUUCAAAUCUCUCGUCCCCAAUGUCUACUUCGCCGGCGAAUAUGAAGAAGUCUCUCCACGGUUUCUCUUCUCCUCUCACCCUUGGACCUCAAGUCUCUGCUGUCACUGACGUGGACCCCAAAUCGGACCCAUCGCCGGAGACGCCGCCCGUUUCCAACCGAACCGUUGCGUCGCGAUCGUCUCGUCAGCCGCGCCUCUCCUUCUCCUCACUCGCUCCGUCGUCCGAGCGCGAUCACCAGAAGAAGGUGAAAUCGGAGGAGAAUCCGCCGCGGAGAGAGGAAGUUCCGGUGUCGGCGGAGGAGGACGAAGAGAAGAGGAAGUGGAAUCUGCGGCCGAGGAAGGCGUGCGGCGGAGGAGGAGCUUCGGAGGCGAAGAAUCAGAAACCAGUCGCGGCGGUGGCGGAGGCGAAAUCGAACAGGCAGAGAGGGAUUCCGGCGGAGUCUCCCGGGUUAGGCGGCGGCGGCGGCGUUGAGGCGAAGAACGAGAAUCACAGGCUCUGGGUGGCUCUGUCUCGUGACGAGAUCGAGGAAGACGUGUUCAGCAUGAGUGGGAACAGGCCAUCUCGUCGGCCACGGAAGAGGACCAAGACCUUGCAGAAACAUCUCGAUGUUAUCUUCCCUGGGUUGUGUCUUGUGGGGAUGAAUGCUGAUUGCUUCAGAGUAUCCACUUCUCCCGCUAAGGUACUUUUAGGCUUGGAUCAACCUGCCCAUUUAGAGCUACAUAUUGAUCCGUAAGAUUGUGUGAAGUUGAAGCAAAUGAGCGAUGAUCGGCCUAUAAACAUAUGUCGACAAAAGGGUAGAUAGGGAUGCUUGGUGACAUGGUCUAGAAAUAUCCAGAAUACACAACAGUAAAAGAUAGGAAGAAGAAAUAUCUCAAGAGGCAUUGUCUUGUCUCAUAUCAAACUUAGCAGGAACAACGUUAUAUAAGUAAAUAUGGGUUAGUAAGUUCAUAAACUAUUUAUAAAGAGAGAGAGGGUGGUUGGUUCGAUUUUGAGUUAUCGAUAAUGAAAUACAGAAAAUCGGUUAGUAUGGUGCUUUGGUGUAGUUAAAUUGAAUCUCAUGGUGGAGUACAUUUUAUUUCUCUGUGUU